UUCGCAAUGCCCGAAAGGGUGACGAAGCGACACCGCGUGGGUGAGGAAGGCCUUCGGGUUGUAAAGCCCUGUCAGGAGUUAAGAAAUGUAAGUGCGCUAAUAUCGCAUUUAUUUGACGAAGGCUCCAAAGGAAGUCACGGCUAACUCUGUGCCAGCAGCCGCGGUAAUACAGAGGUGGCGAGCGUUGUUCGGAAUUAUUGGGCGUAAAGAGCACGUAGGUGGGUUUGCAAGUCAGAUGUGAAAGCCUCCUGUUCAACGGGAGAAUUGCAUCUGAAACUGCAGAUCUUGAGUGUAGGAGGGGAGAAUGGAACUUCUGGUGGAGCGGUGAAAUGCGUAGAUAUCAGAAGGAACGCCGGCGGCGAAAGCGAUUCUCUGGCCUAUUACUGACACUCAGUGUGCGAAAGCUAGGGGAGCAAACGGGAUUAGAUACCCCGGUAGUCCUAGCCGUAAACGAUGGGCACUAAGUAGAGGGGUUUU
rnacentral:rRNA from 2 species